rnacentral:snoRNA from 1 species
CUAUGAUGAACUUUAGAUGACGAGUCUGAAGUGUCGUGGCGAGGCUUCCUCUCAUCGACUUUCCAUGACGACCACCAAAAUUUAUACCAUUCAUGCUUUCCUGAUU